ACUUGAAUAGCUUAUUUUUUAGAGCGUGACACUGAAGAUGUCAAUGAGGUUUAUUUGGCCUUUGAGUA
rnacentral:tRNA from 3 species